rnacentral:lncRNA from 1 species
ACUUUGUGAGAUGCCUUGGGAAGGACACCAUGAAAAUGAAUAUGUAAAUGAAGAAAAGACAGUAUAAAAUACAUAGAUAUAUAAAUGUUAAUUUCUUUUGCAUCUCUUACUGAUGGCUUUUCCCCUCUCCUAGACUUAUAUUUGCCUUGACUUCUGCUAUGGAGACCCUCAUGCCAGGCAACUUUGUACUUUUACAGGAGUGCAUACUGCAUUGUGACCCUCCCACUGUGCCAAAUAGUGCCUGGAAGGAGAAUCCACAUGAGCACCACAAGGAUAAAAGUGAGGAAUGGUUGAACAACACAGAAAAAGGACAUCAACGAGAACGGAAAGGAAAGCAAGUAGGAGCAGCAGCAAUGACACCAGCAGCCAUGAAAAUGGCUGGCCCUUGGAGCUUCUGAAUAAAGGUAAGGAAGAUGUUUGGAUCAAGAGAUUCACAGAAGAUUAAAGUUAUUUUGUUCUGGAAAUGGGGUUGUCAGGUCAUAAUUUCAGCAGUAAGAGAAAGUACUGGUUAGUGAGUGCUGGGCUGUU